rnacentral:rRNA from 1 species
GACGAACGCUGGCGGCGUGCUUAACACAUGCAAGUCGAACGGAAAGGCCCUGCUUUUGUGGGGUGCUCGAUUGGCGAACGGGUGAGUAACACGUGAGUAACCUGCCCUUGACUUUGGGAUAACUUCAGGAAACUGGGGCUAAUACCGGAUAUGAGCUCCUGCUGCAUGGUGUGGGUUGGAAAGUUUCGGCGUUUGGGGAUGUACUCGCGGCUUAUCAGCUUGUUGGUGGGGUAGUGGCUUACCAAGGCUUUGACGGGUAGCCGGCCUGAGAGGGUGACCGGCCACAUUGGGACUGAGAUACGGCCCAGACUCCUACGGGAGGCAGCAGUGGGGAAUAUUGCACAAUGGGCGGAAGCCUGAUGCAGCAACGCCGCGUGCGGGAUGACGGCCUUCGGGUUGUAAACCGCUUUCGCCUGUGACGAAGCGUGAGUGACGGUAAUGGGUAAAGAAGCACCGGCUAACUACGUG